CCCCCAGGUGAGACCAGUAAAGAAGUGAAUGGCAGCUGGACAGAACCUUCUGGCACAGUAGUCUUAACUUGGCAAGGCCAUGGCAGCAGUUGGAGCUUGGGCUGUGGUCCACCCUGAUCAUGGUGCAGUGGGAUGACUGGCACUUGGCUGGAAUCUGGGGAUUCAAGAGGGGUGGGUGCCAGGUCUGAGAAGGUCUAGACUGGGGAGUGAGGUAUUAUUCAUUAGUAGGGUUCAUGGGAUUUGGCAUGUGGCCAUCCUUGGGGGCUGAGGUCUCAGUUCACCACAGGACGGGCAUCUGCCUGGGACAGACCCAUCUCUACACUCUGCUUCAGUGCCUCUGUUUGCCAAGGGAGACUUGAAGACCAAUCCUCUUGCCUGGGGCCCUGUCCUGUAAAGAGGAGGACUGGGAGUUAGUCUGACUCUGACACACCCCUGUCCUGUUGAAUUUGUACAUGGGGUCUUGUCGCUUAGCAUGGCAGAGCCCUCCUCAGGUGACCCCCGGUUUGAGCCUGGCUAAGUCCUUCCUGCACCUCCUGUGGCCAAGCCAGAUGCUCCAGCCAGUUCUAUGGCAGGGCCACAUCUGCCACAUGCCCGUGCCUUUGUUGAUUUCCUGGCCUGGACCCCUUCCCCCGCCCCCCACCAACUCCUUCCCCCAGGGACCUGUAGAUCCUAGGCUUCAUCACUGAAUGGUCCCCGCAGGGCUAUCAGCAUUGACAGGUGACCCCAGUGAGGGACUAAGGGACCUUCAUAUCUAGGGUUCACUGUGACUCGGUAGGACACCUACAUCAAAAUCGGAUGCAACAAGCCUUUGAGACCACCUGCCCUCCAGUCCUCCCACCCUAGAUUUAUCAUAGGCUCCCAGAGAGCUGUUGUUAGGCAGGUGCUCAGUGGCUGCACCUCAGUGAGCUGGCCUACAACCCACCAGGGGCUUUCUGACCGUGCCUGCUCCCGGCUGCCUCGUCCACCUAUGCCCCGGGCCUGUCCUGAGGCUCCCUGCUAAUUGCAAACAUGUUAACUUGCCACCUCUGGCAAACUCUGCACUGGAGCUGUUCUCUGCUUCAUGCAGUAAGUGAACAGGCAUCGAGGGUCCCCCGUGUGCCUGGUGCUGAGGAUACAAGAAUAAACGCCAAGACGCUUCCAAACAACCUUAUUCUCACAGAGCUUAGAUUCUAGAGAGGGCAUAAGCCAACAUCUGUACACAAGCCAGAGGGGCUUUGAAGAAAGAAAGCAGGGGAAACAUGAAUGGCAUGGGGGCCAGGCUGCCUGCUAGGAGGAAAGGGAGGCUUGGGUGAGGAGGCCAGAUGCAGCCCCUGGCCACCGUGGGGUCACCACGUGGGCCGCGGGGACUUGUUUACCAGGGUCGGUGCUGUGGGCGCCUUGCGGUUUGAUUGGAAGUGUGGGAGCACACAUUGCUCCAGUGGGGUCUGCAGCCCCUGGCUGGCCUGGGGAACUUGGUCAACCGGGUUGAUCCAGGGCCCAUUGUUUCCUAGGCCAGUGCGACAAGCAAGAGGGAGUAAUGAUGAGAUGCUGAGGUGCCGGGUACCUGACUUCAGGGACGGAGUAGGGCAGAAGACAGGUGGGAGGGAAAGGCGGGAUUCAAUUAGGAUGGCAGAGGCUGAGUGUCCUGACAAGAUCCAGAUGGUGGCUCAGUAUCUGCUGGCUCACAUGGCCUGGAGGUGAAGGAGACAGGGUCAGAGGAACAGAGGCUGUGGGAGAGGAUUCUGGCAACUGCCCUCUAAAAAUUACUGCUUCUGGCAGCCACGCCCCUACACGGGUCACGUGACUUACGAAGCCCAAUGGGAAGCCCCUGAUUGCCGCGUGAGGGAUUGUGGGAAAGUCUGCUGAGAGAGGCGGGAAUGACCAGGUGACUCCAGGCGCGUGAGCGAGCACAUCCUAAGCCAUCCAGCCUCACCUGAUCUGGCCCAGUCCGGAACUGCUCGGCUGACCACGGACUCUUGAGAAAUAGGAAAUCGGAGCACAGAGGAGAGGCCAUAUGAGGACAUGGUGAAGUGGCCAUCUGCAAGCCGGGAAGAGAGAUCCCACCAGACACCAACCCUGCCAGCACUGUGAUCUUGAACUUCCAGCCUCCAGAAUUGCCGGUGGGAGCUCCUGUCGCUGUCCCCCUCUCGCCUUCCACUUGGGUCCACAGGCACAAGCCCCGAAAGCACUUCCUUUGUGGAUGGCAGGUCCCAGAACAGGGCCAGCCAGUAGGCCUGGGGAGAGGGUGUGGAUUUCCUGAUGGGCCAGAGAAAGAGGUGUUCGGACCUGUCAGAAGCCUGCGCCCAGGGCGCACUGCUGGCCUGCUUGUACCUGCUGCCCAAGGGCUGAGCCCAGAGUGGUUAGUGUCCAGAUGGGAGCAUUGUGGACCAGCGGAGACCAUCACACAUGCACAGAGUGAAUCCUGCUGUGACAUGAACACUGGCCUCUGAGCCGGUGGGACUUGAUUCAAGUGUCAUCUCUGCCUCCCACUUUCUUGAGGCCUCAGAUUGGAGAGAACAAGAAAGCCGAAAGAGAACAGUGAGGAGCUACUACAAUCCUUCAGCACUUUGAGUGUAUCCUCUGUCCUGACCUUCAUGGGUUUGCUGGGAAAUCCUCUCACAGUCUCACGGGGGCUCCCUUGUAUGUGGAGAAGACAGUGUAAAGAUAGAGCUGAGAGAUUUGAGGAUGCUGACAUUAAAGCCUGGAGGGAUGUGUCCACAAGCCAAGGAAUGCCUACAGCCACCAGAACCUGAAAGAGGCAAGGGAUGGAUUCUUUCCUAGAGCCUCUGGAGGAGGCACUGCACUGACUAUACCUUGAUUUCAGCCCAGUGAGACUGAUUUCAUACUUUUGUCCUCCAGAACUGUAAGAUGAUACAUUUCUGUUGUUUUAAGGCACUAAACGUGUAGUAAUUUGUUACAGCAGCCCCAAGAAACAUACAGGGGAUGUCUGAUCAUUUUUAUGGUUUGGACAAUGUCCUUGUUUUUGUCCAAGUUCAUGGGUUAUGGGUUGAAUUGUCUACUCCUCAAGUUCAUAUGUUAAAGUUCUAACCCCCAGUACUGUAGAAUAUGACCUUAUUUAGAAAUGGCCAGUAGCGUGGGCCCCUAAACCAAUAUGACUGGUGUCCUUACAAAAAAGGGAAAUGUAGACAGAGAUGCACUACAGGGGGAGCACCAGGUGGAAAUCGGAGUUCUGUUGCCAUAAGCCCAGGAACCACCAGAAGUUAGGAGAGAGGCCUGGAACCUCUCCUUCCCUUGCACCUUCAGAGAAAGUGUGGUCUUGCAGACACCUUGAUCACAGGCUUCCAGUCUCCAGAACUGCCAGACCUUACGUGUUAUCUAAUCCACGUAGUUUGUGGUACUUUGUUACGGCUUCCUGGCCAAUGAGUACAGUUCAGAGAUGAUUACAGAGUGGUCUUGCUUUUGUCUUGCCUGUGACCUUGUCUGACGUUGACAUUGUAUGAAAUUGUUUAUGUUCGACAGGAAAACUCCAGCGCCUAGCUGUGAGGGCCGGGCCAGCUCUCCCAAAUGUCAGGGACUGCUUUUCUCUUUCUUAUCACAGAAUCUUUACUCAUCUGAUAAAUGUUCACUUUAUGUUGUCUUUAAGCAUUGUAAAUAAUUCUUUCUAAAAAAUAUUUAAACCUUC